GAAAUGCGAUACGCAAUGCGAAUUGCAGAAUUCCGCGAGUCAUCAGAUCUUUGAACGCAAUUGGCGCUGGUUUAACCGCCAGCAUGUUUGUUUCAGUGUGUUAGGAAUCACACAUCUCAAUGCGAUUGAGGGACCUCCGCAAGGAAGCCCUUCUCUCGUUAAACACGGAGGUGUCGAGCCUUAGCGCGACCGAACGAAGUAGUCACUUCUUGAAAGUGAUCUCGUUCGUUGUUGGCGGGCUCACUAAGACGCUUCAUAAAAAAUUCAUCAAGGAGGGAAUUUCCUUCCUUCUUUUUCCCACAACACCUGAAAUCAAGCAAGAUCACCCGCUGAACUUAA
rnacentral:misc_RNA from 1 species